rnacentral:misc_RNA from 1 species
CUUCGCUGAUUUAUCAUUGGAAAUUUUAUGUGAUACACCUGGCAUAAAAUCCCCAAGAGGUAAUCUCAUGUAAAGUACCUAAGGAAGGAAGACAACCUCAUGUAUUAAUGAUGACACUAUAAUAUCUGUACAUUACAGAGAACAAGCUGAAAGAAAUUACUAGAAAACCUUCAACUUGAGUCGGUGCCAACUGCUGCUGUGGCCAUUCUUGAAACAAAGCUUCGAAACUUAUCGCCCUGCUAUUAAAGCUGAAUCAUCACCAAUUUAGUAAGUAAGAAGAUUGUUAUGUGUCUGCAUGGCAUUUCCAGAGUCCAAGUCAUUUGCUUCAGCUUCACCCUGUUCA